CAAUAUCACAAAUUUGUUUUUAAAAAUAUUUUUAUAACUAUAUUUCAAUAUAACCAAUUUCUUUUGUAUUCCUGCAUUUUAUUUUGUACACUUAAAACUAUUACUCUGAGGUCAAGAUUUCACCAUACCACCAAAAUGUUCACAGCACAAAAACCUCCUGACUACACAUCUAUUUGUAAGAAACUUUGCUUAAUCCCAGAUGAGAUCAAUCCACAAAUACUUAUAAUCUAGAAAAGGGAAAAUGAACUAAUAUCCAUUCAUCAAAAUGGCUUGUAUAUAACUCAAUUACUACCUUAUACCUCAAGGUAGAAGGAACCUGAUUCACAAGAUUUCUCAUGUAACCUUACGAUAUACAAUUGGGUAGGAUAUGGGCCAUCUCUUUGAAAACGAUGAAAAGUGAGUGGGUGCUACCCUAUGUAUCAAGAACAUAUUAUGACUUUUCCCCUUCUUUAACAAAAAUGUCUGUAAACCAUACCAAAUGUCCAUAGUUUAGGUAUUAAGUUUUGGUUUAAAUGAGAUAGUGAACAGGGGUGACUUUAUUACAAUAUGAACAAUCUGGCUAGAAAAAUCUGUCAUUUUUUAGACUUAUCUCUGUUAAGAUCACGCAGUCAAACCAACAGUAGUAAUUAGAUCCUUUCUCACUGACUUAGCUAAAGCUAAUGAGAAAUACACACCCCAUUUUUGCACAAGCCUUGGAGGAGACAGAUCGGCUAGAAGACAGUCUGAGAUAUGGAGAGGAGAGGGGAGAAAAAGUAUUUAAACAAGCCUGCACCUAAGAUCCACACUCAGACUGCAGACAUCCUGGUCAGGUGACAGCUCAGGCCACCCAAAACAUGGCGGAAAGGAAUAGGAACCUUCCUUGGGGAAGGGAAUAGGAUGGGGGAAAGGGAUAGGAAUGGGGGAAUAGGAUGGGGUAAAGGAAUAGGAAGGCCACCCAAAACAUGUGGGAAAGGAAUAGGAACAUUUUCCUAUGGCACGCCCACAACCACCACGUGUAGCUUGCGUGUGCUACCCAACCUGAGGAGAAGCGUGCCCAGCAUGCAUUCUGUCCUAGGAUCUGAGGAAGGAAAAAGGGUGACUACUUGGUGCCACUCCCUUCUUUGCUCACAACACCCAAAUAAAUGCACAACUCCUGGCCCAUUUAUUUUUUAUGUGCCAGGUAACAAGAGGGCUCAUUGUAUUUGGACAUAACAGUGGGCUGGGGAGAAGUUAAAAGGCUGUCUGUAAUUACUCAAACACGUGGAGAAUACAUUCUGCAACAGGUAGAUGUUAAUAUUCCAAUUUUCCAGUUGAGGAAACUAAGGAUUGAGAAGUUGUAUACUAAUAAAACUAGUCCAUGUUAAGUAAUGGAGAUGGGAAAGUCUAAUGCCAGGAUGGAUUUAAACUUUUUUAUGUUGUGGGACUCUGAGAGAAUCCCAUGAAGGUUAUCAUCUCUUUCCCCAGUGACUGAGUUUGGAUGUUUGUCCCCUCCAGAUCUCAUAUUGAAAUGUGAUCCCUGGCCGGGUACGGUGACUCACACCUGUAAUCCCAGUACUUUGGGAGGUCGAGGUGGGUGGAUCACCUGAGGUCAGGAGUUCAAGACCAGCCUGGUCAACAUGGUGAAACCCCACCUCUAUUAAAAAUACAAAAAUUAGCUGGGCGUGGUGGUGCAUGCC
rnacentral:lncRNA from 10 species